rnacentral:rRNA from 1 species
UACGGAGGGGGCGAGCGUUGUCCGAAGUUACUGGGCGUAAAGCGCGUGUAGGCGGGUUGCCAAGUCCGCUGUGAAAGCCCGAGGCUCAACCUCGGAGGGUCGGUGGAUACUGGCAGUCUUGAAGGUGCUAGGGGGAGAUGGAAUUACCGGUGUAGCGGUGAAAUGCGUAGAGAUCGGUAGGAACACCAGUGGCGAAGGCGGUCUCCUGGAGCAUUCUUGACGCUGAGACGCGAAAGCUGGGGGGAGCGAACGGG